rnacentral:pre_miRNA from 14 species
AGUGGAACUGCUGGGUCUUACGGUGACUCUAUGUUUAACUGUUUGAGGAGCUGCCAGACUGUUUUCCAAAGCAGCUGUACCAUUUAC